AAAUAAACUGGAAGGCUAACUGCUAUGAUGAAGGCCUAUGAUUUGAUGAAGCCAAAAUAGUUUUUCUGAGUUAUGAGCAGAAAUACUUGACCCCAAACGUCGGGCUAUAUAUCAAAUUGAAGCUAUUGAAAAUUGCUAUUCGGUGUGGAAAUUUCAAGACUUCAGCGAAAAGAAAAAUAUUUAAAAAAUACGAAAACAACUGCAAAACGGCAAAUUAUCGGUAAUUAUAUUUGUAGUUUUUCAAUAUUUCCCUUUUAGCUAAAGUCUUGAAAUUUCUACACCAAAUAGUGUUUUUCAAUAGCUUCAAUUUGAUAUAUAGCCCAACGUUCAGUGUUGAGUAUUUCUGCUCAUAACUCAGAAAAACUAAAAUGCACUGGCUUCAAUUUCCCCCCCUGAGUUAGCCUUCCAGUUUAUUUAUAGUUCAAUGGUCUAUACAUUAGAGCGUUUCUUUACGUACUUUCCGGCUUUUCAAUAUGUUCAUUAACAUGACGUACUGACGGUGCGUGCGCCUGCAUUACAAACCGCUGGCUGUCGCAGAUUUCUA